rnacentral:rRNA from 1 species
GGAGGUAACGCGUAUCCAACCUUCCCUAUAGUAGAGAAUAGCCCGGCGAAAGUCGGAUUAAUGCUCUAUGUUCUUCUUUGAUGGCAUCUGACGAGAAGCAAAGGUUCACCGCUAUAGGAUGGGGAUGCGUCUGAUUAGGUAGUCGGCGGGGUAACGGCCCACCGAGCCAUCGAUCAGUAGGGGUUCUGAGAGGAAGGUCCCCCACAUUGGUACUGAGACACGGACCAAACUCCUACGGGAGGCAGCAGUGAGGAAUAUUGGUCAAUGGGCGAGAGCCUGAACCAGCCAAGUAAGCGUGCAGGAUGACUGCCCUAUGGGUUGUAAACUGCUUUUAUAGGGGAAUAAAGUGAGGUACGUGUACCUUUUUGUAUGUACCCUAUGAAUAAGGACCGGCUAAUUCCGUGCCAGCCGCCGC